CAAACUGUGGUGAGAAAAACAGCUGGGAUAACAUAAAUGGACAAAUAAAACACAAGGAGGCUGUGUGGACACAAGGAGGCUGUGUGGAGACAAAUAUGCUGAUUCACACCCUGUCAGGAGUUUUAGGACCCACUUUCACAAUUUAUAUUUCACUCGAUACUAAUCACACACAAAUGACUGACUUAUAGAAGGCCAAGUUAAGCUCCGUAUGUGAACACUUGGCUCACCUUGCCAGAGUGAUCAGGACUGAUGGCGAAGCCGAACUCACUCUGGAUGAAGGUGUGGUUGAUCAGGGCAGAGCUGUUUACAAGGUGAGCCGAGCCCCGAAGAGUCUGCACACAGCUCUAUAAAGCCACAGGAGACGGCCAGGUCUGGCUGCUGGAAACUCCUUGUAAACAGGUCCAGUGGAAGCUGGCCAGGCGCGGCUAUCCAAGUGUGUGAACACAACUUUCCAUCUAUUCUGUACAUAAAUCACUUCAUCACACCCUCGCCUGCAUCCAACGGUUCUUUAAUCUCAAUCGGUUUAUUGCCUGACAACUUAACCUCCGCUCUUAUGCAGUCAUUUAGUCAAUCUGGUAUUCAGUUAGAAAUGUAAAGCAUGACGAG